rnacentral:lncRNA from 1 species
AGAGGCUUAGAGAGGGAAGUGAGCUAACCUGGGUCAUAACAGCAUGAGUGGGGGGAACGUCUCAAACAUACCUGGGUGUGGCUCUGUUUACACACACACACACACACACACACACACACACACACACACACACACACUAUCUGCCUAGCAGAGGCCACUCACACACACACUAUCUGCCUAGCAGAGGCUUGGAUCCCAGAGAGUUCCCCUGUCUUCUGUCUGGUACACUUGGAGGGAAGAUCGCCUGAGCUGCUGCUGAGGACUCUGCAUGGCCUUCUCACAUCCAGACCUCAAGUCCAGGCAUGAAGGUUGAGCAGGGGGCCACUGGGAGUGUCCCAGCGGCUGGAAGGCACCUCCAGCUGCAGAUUCAUCGAUGCUGGGCAUAACCUGGUUAAUCUCCCAUCCCAUCCAUUCCAGGUUAUUGAAAUGACAGACCCCCAAGAAAACGGGAUUCUCCCGGGAAUUUCACACUAGGAGAAGAGAAGCCACAAGCCUAGGCCAGUCGGGGACAGGACACUUCUCCUGGGGAGAGCCUAGGACCUCGGUCGAUCACCUGACAGGAGAGGCUGGACGGGACCACACCUUGACCUUGGCCUGCUGAGCUCUGCAUAACUCUGGGCCUCUGGUGACUCCUCUGUCUCAUUUCAGGACUCACAUGGACUUGGGGUGGGGGGAGGGGGAGUCACACGAGCUCUGUCCAUUUUCUCAAUGUCGCUACAUCGAGUAAACCUCCUUUCCCUGCUUUUUACUGUCAGUUUGGAUGUUUUCAUCGGCUUGUAGAGGAUGGGUAGCUAAACCUGAUUUGAUGGGGGCUCAGGCUGUGACCCCAAGUCUAAUAACAGGGACAUAAACUCAUUCUGUGACGCUCAGCCAUUCUGCACAGGCUCUGGAAAUGGAAUUCGGGUCUUCUCAUGCCAAGCCUUUACCAACUGAGCUACCUAACCUAUGCCUAGUGUCCCCUCACGAAGGCACAGGGGUUGUGAACUGAAUCACUGAGAGGCAAAAAGACAAGGAUACCUCUCUCUGGCCAAAAGGCCAUGCAAAGGUCCUGGGGUCACGAGUCAGGCUCUGACUAUCUCUUGAGGAUGUUCUGUCCCUUUCCAUUGAGGUUCGCCUCUCAAAAUCACCAUGAUAGUUCUCUACAAAGCCCUGCUACUCUAUGCAUCGACCUCAAACUCACAGAGUUCCAGGUGCUUCUGUCUCCCAGCUUCUGGGAUUAAAGGGCUGGACCACCAUGCCCGACUCACCAUGACAUCUCAAACAGUGAUCGCAGCUGGGGUACAAAAUGUCCUUAUAGUGGUUUGAAUAUGCUUAGCCCAUGGGAAGUGCUACUAUUAGGAGGUGUGGCCUUUGUUGGAGGAAGUUUGUUACUGUAUAGGUUGACUUUGAGGGUCCCUAGUGCUCAAGUUCUGCCCAAUGGAGAAGAGUCAGUCUCCUGGCUGCCUUCUGAUCAAGAUGUAGAACUCUCAUCUCCUUCUCCAGCACCGUGUCUGCCUGGGUGCUGCCAUGUCUCCUGCCAUGAUGAUAAUGCACUGAACCUCUGAAGUUGUAAGCCAGCCCCAAUUAACUGUUUGCCUUUAUAAGGGUUGCCGUGGUCAUUGUGUGUCUUCAUAGCAAUUAAAUCCUAACUGAGGCAGUCUUUAUGCCCAUAGAUCACUAGGACACCAGGAAUAUAAAACACGCAGGGGCCUCUUCUCAUUGGAAGAAUUACCUGUUUUCUGCCCAGAAGGCUGGGAGUGGGUUCUGUUAAAGGUCACAAUAUGGUGACCUAUUUACUAUCUGUGGAGGCAGACCUCAUCCAAACCCUCCAGAAUGAUUAUUCCAGACUCCCCCCUCCUUAGAUCAUUAGUCACCCUGAGGGGAGAUGUCACAUGUAUGUUAUGGCCUGCUGACCUCUAUGCAGUCAGAGACCACACUAGAUUCUAGACCUUCUAGCUAUCGAUCCCACUCAUGGUCACAUGCACGCUGUAAAGGAGUUUCUGUGUAAAUCACCUUAAGCCUUACUGUGCACCCGGAAGUGGGAUGAUGGUUCCCCGGGAACUUUCCCCCAAACUGUGCUGUGUUUUAAAUAUGCUGACAAUGCUGAGCGGUGGUGGUGCACGCCUUCAAUCCCAGCAACUCAGGAGGCAGAAGCAAGUGGAUCUCUGAGUUCCAGGCCCAGAGAUCCUGGUCUACAGAGUGAGUUCCAGAACAAACAGAGCUACACAGAGAAACCCUGUCUCUAAAACAAGCAAACAAAGCUGACAACGAGGCCCCUGGAAUUAGACUCCCUGAAGUCUGGUCCAGGCUCAUGAAGUCCAUCUCAUCUCUUCAUGGGUUCACUUCCCCAGCCGGAUACCUGCUGGCUCUCCCUGAAGUGGCACCCAACCUGGGGCAUACGACCCUCAGAGAAGGUAAGAAAAGUUUUAAUUAAAUAGAAAUUAUAGGGGUUAGAGAGACUAGGUCUUCUCACUGAAAAGGGGCCAGUGGAGACCUGAGGUGAGAGAGUGGGUUAACGUGAAUCUUUUUCAAUCCUUUGGACAAAACAUUUUGUGCAAUUAUUGAAAUGUUUGUUAAGACCCAUCGAAUCAAGAUUUUUAGAGCAUUAUAUUCUGCAACUUUGUACCCAUAGGAACUAAUAUGAAGAAAUAGCGUAGAAGGUCAAAUAUUUUAGAAAAAGAGAAAGGAAGAAAGGGGAAGGAGGGGGAAGAGAGAUUGAGGAAGGAGAAAAAGGAGGAUAGACAAGAUAGAGAGGAGGCAGGAAAGAGAAAAGACAAUGCUGCAGGCAUAUGGCCCAGAUGGACAACUCAGGCUCUCCUGGGAAAUUGAAUCCCAAAUGCAAAGGCUUUUGGUGGCCAGUGCAGAAGCAGAGGCUGAGCCACUGUGUUUCAGAAAGAAAGUCUGUGCUGCCCUGGCUCCUGCCUCCGUCCUCUGAGCCACCCCAGGGUCCUUCCUAUAAGUCGCCCUUGGGUUUGGUGGGCAGAGUCCCUUCUGAGCCCUGAAAAAUCAAACAAAACACCAAGCCCCAAACAAAGCAAGCCAGAUGAAACCACUCCAAAAGAGUUUGGGAGGCGUGGUGUGGAGGAAGAAGGGCUUUGUGGUUUUAACUCUUUUCGUACCCAACAUGGCUUGUAAAAUUAAGCUUUUUGCUUAUGUUUUUGACACAGAGUCUAGCUUUGUAACUCAGUCUGGCCCCAGCCUCACAAGUGCAGGCAUUGCAGAGGGUGCCCCAUCUCUGUCUCUCCUCUCUCUCUUUCUCCUCUCUCCCCAGCUUCUCUCUUUCUUUCUGACAGGGACUCAUGCAGCUCAGGUUGGGAGUGAACUAUUAAGCCAAAGAUGACUUUGACUUCUGAUCCUCCUGUCUCCACUUCCCAUGUACUCCAAUUCCAGGCAUGACUCACCCUCCCUGACCCACUUGUUGUUGUUGUUGUUGUUUAUUUUAAAACACAGGAUCACAAGUAGGUUUAGCUGACUCAGAAAUGUUUGGUUUUAAAAUUCCUAUUGAAGCAGCCGACUGGAGAUUCAUGGAAAACUGUUAAUGAACCUUGGCUUAUGAUUUAGAGUAGAAUUUCCAGCAAUUUCUGAAGUGACCCUAAACAUGCUUCUACCAUCUUGUAUGAUAUAUUUAUAUAAAAUGGCAUUCUCAGCACUGACCAAAAAAAAAAAAUCCAUAUUGAUAAACUCUGAAAAAUAAAUAUUUGGUUAACAUUUUAUAUAAAAAUAACAAGUAUAUAUGUCCCACUAGUAUACAAAUUUGCUUUAUUGUUGUGUGUGCAUAUGUGUGCAGUAUAUGGCAUUGUGUGUAUGGUCUUGUGUAUGUGUGGGAGUUGUGGUACAUGCACCUGUAUGUUCAUGUAUGUGGAAGCCUAAGAAGGGUGAUGUUUUAGUUUGGGUUUUAUUGCUGUGAAGAGAGACCAUGACCAAGGCAACUCUUAUAAAGAAAACAUUCAGUUGGGGCUGGCUUACAGUUUCAGAGGCUCAGUCCAUCAUCAUGGUGGGAACAUGGCAAAGUACAGACAGGCAUGGUGCUAGAAGAGCUGAGAGUUCUACAUCUUGAUCAGAAGGCAGCCAGGAGGAGGGUCUGGAUCACACUGGCCAGGACUGAGCAUAUAUAUAUAUAUAUAUAUAUAUAUAUAUAUAUAUAUAUAUAUACCUCAAAGCCCCGCCUCAACAGUGACACACUUCCUAUAACAAGGCCACACCCCCUAAGGCCACACCUCCUAAUAGUGCUGCUUUCCAUAGGCCAAGCAUAUCCAAACCACCAUAAGUGUAGAAUAUCUUUCUUCAGCUGCUCUCCUUAUUCUUUUGUUUGUUUCUUGUUAUGCAGCCUUGGCUGGCACAGAGAUCCUCCUGACUCUGUCUACCGAGUGCAGUGGUCAAAGGUGUGUGCUGCCACCGACUGGCUUCCAUCUUGAUUUUUUUUGAGAGGAGCUCUCCGGUUGAACUUGGGGCUCAUUGAUUUGCCAGGACGACUGACCAAUAAGCUUCAGGAGUCCCCCUGUCACUCGUGUACACCCUAAACACCAAGGCUGGGGUUAUAAGCACACUCCACCAUGGCUGCUUUUCAAAUGGGUUCAGGGGAUCUGAACUCAUGUCCUCGUGCUUGUACGGCCAACAUUUUACUGAGUCAUCUCUUCCUCCCUUGUUCCUUAAUAAACUGCAGGGUCCUGUGUAUACCAAAGAAUUGUUUUAAAGUAAAUGUCUUUCUGAUUUAUGGUGAGCGUUUGGUUUGUGGACUUGUUUUUAAUGUAUGUAGCUAUCUGAGAUCAUGUAAAGAUGUCUCAAGCUUUGUAAUUUGAGAAAGGAGUCAGUGUGGAAACCAUUUGAGAAGCUGCGUUUCAG